AGUGAACGCUGGCGGUAGGCCUAACACAUGCAAGUCGAACGGCAGCACAGUAAGAGCUUGCUCUUACGGGUGGCGAGUGGCGGACGGGUGAGGAAUACAUCGGAAUCUACUUUUUCGUGGGGGAUAACGUAGGGAAACUUACGCUAAUACCGCAUACGACCUACGGGAGAAAGCAGGGGAUCUUCGGACCUUGCGCGAAUGAAUGAGCCGAUGUCGGAUUAGCUAGUUGGCGGGGUAAAGGCCCACCAAGGCGACGAACCGGAGCUGGUCUGAGAGGAUGAUCAGCCACACUUGAACUGAGACACGGUCCAGUCUCCUACGGGAGGCAGCAGUGGGGAAUAUUGGACAAUGGGCGCAAGCCUGAUCCAGCCAUACCGCGUGGGUGAAGAAGGCCUUCGGGUUGUAAAGCCCUUUUGUUGGGAAAGAAAAGCAGCAGGUUAAUACCCCGCUGUUCUGACGGUACCCAAAGAAUAAGCACCGGCUAACUUCGUG
rnacentral:rRNA from 1 species